GAUGAACGCUAGCGGCAGGCUUAAUACAUGCAAGUCGAGGGGCAGCAUAGGUAGCAAUACUUGAUGGCGACCGGCAAACGGGUGCGGAACACGUACAGAACCUUCCUUCGAGCGGGGAAUAGCCCGGAGAAAUCCGGAUUAAUACCCCAUAGUAAAUUGAAAAGGCAUCUUUUAAUUUAAAGAUUUAUCACUUGAAGAUGGCUGUGCGCCUGAUUAGGUAGUUGGCGGAGUAANAGCCCACCAAGCCUGCGAUCAGUAACUGGUGUGAGAGCACGACCAGUCACACGGGCACUGAGACACGGGCCCGA
rnacentral:rRNA from 1 species